rnacentral:rRNA from 1 species
AGCUAGCCUAACCGCAACGGGGCGGUUGCCACGGUGAGAUUCAUGACUGGGUG